rnacentral:rRNA from 1 species
CACGUAGGGCGCAAGCGUUGUCCGGAAUUAUUGGGCGUAAAGAGCUCGUAGGCGGUCUGUUACGUCUGCUGUGAAAACCCAGGGCUUAACCCUGGGCUUGCAGUGGAUACGGGCAGACUAGAGGCAGGUAGGGGAGAAUGGAAUUCCCGGUGUAGCGGUGAAAUGCGCAGAUAUCAGGAGGAACACCGGUGGCGAAGGCGGAUCUCUGGACAGUUCCUGACGCUGAGGCACGAAGGUCAGGGGAGCAAACGGG